UGUAGCUUAUUAGCUGCAUUAUUUGACGUAGCGACAGAAGAAGCAACGGCUACUCCGUGCCAGCAGCGCGGUAUACGAGGGUGCGAGCGUUAAUCCGAAUUACUGGCGUAAAGCGCAUGCAGGUGGUUUGUUAUAGUCAGAUGUGAAAGCCCGGGGCUCAACCUCGGAAUUGCAUUUGAAACUGGCAGACUAGAGUACUGUAGAGGGGGGUAGAAUUUCAGGUGUAGCGGUGAAAUGCGUAGAGAUCUGAAGGAAUACCGGUGGCGAAGGCGGCCCCCUGGACAGAUACUGACACUCAGAUGCGAAAGCGUGGGGAGCAAACAGGAUUAGAUACCUGGUAGUCCACGCCGUAAACGAUGUCUACUUGGAGGUUGUGGCCUUGAGCCGUGGCUUUCGGAGCUAACGCGUUAAGUAGACCGCCUGGGGAGUACGGUCGCAAGAUUAAAACUCAAAUGAAUUGACGGGGGCCCGCACAAGCGGUGGAGCAUGUGGUUUAAUUCGAUGCAACGCGAAGAACCUUACCUACUCUUGACAUCCAGAGAACUUUCCAGAGAUGGAUUGGUGCCUUCGGGAACUCUGAGACAGGUGCUGCAUGGCUGUCGUCAGCUCGUGUUGUGAAAUGUUGGGUUAAGUCCCGCAACGAGCGCAACCCUUAUCCUUGUUUGCCAGCGAGUAAUGUCGGGAACUCCAGGGAGACUGCCGGUGAUAAACUUGAGGAAGCUGGGGACGACCUCAAGUCAUCAUGGCCCUUACGAGUAGGGCUACACACGUGCUACAAUGGCGCAUACAGAGGGCGGCCAACUUGCGAAAGUGAGCGAAUCCCAAAAAGUGCGUCGUAGUCCGGAUUGGAGUCUGCAACUCGACUCCAUGAAGUCGGAAUCGCUUGUAAUCGUGGAUCAGAAUGCCACGGUGAAUACGUUCCCGGGCCUAGUACACACCGCCCGUCACACCAUGGGAGUGGGCUGCAAAAGAAGUAGGUAGUUUUACUUCGGGGGGACGC
rnacentral:rRNA from 1 species